rnacentral:rRNA from 1 species
UCUUUUGUGAUAUGUCUUGUAUUGGAUGAUGGUGACCCAAACCCUCACCAGAGUAGCAAUUGGAGGGCAAGUCUGGUGCCAGCAGCCGCGGUAAUUCCAGCUCCAAUAGCGUAUAUUAAACUUGUUGCAGUUAAAAAGCUCGUAGUUGAAUUUUAGCGUGUUCGAGUUUGCCAUUCGUUUGGCUUUUUCGAGUUCGCUUUUGGGUUUUCCCUUUUUACUUUGAGAAAAUUAGAGUGUUUCAAGCAGACUUUUGUCUUGAAUACUUCAGCAUGGAAUAAUAGAGUAGGACUUUGGUUCUAUUUUGUUGGUUAUUGAACCUUAGUAAUGGUUAAUAGGAGCAGUUGGGA